AACGACUCUCGACAACGGAUAUCUCGGCUCUCGCAUCGAUGAAGAACGUAGCGAAAUGCGAUACUUGGUGUGAAUUGCAGAAUCCCGUGAACCAUCGAGUCUUUGAACGCAAGUUGCGCCCGAAGCCACUAGGCCGAGGGCACGCCUGCCUGGGUGUCACAC
rnacentral:rRNA from 1 species